rnacentral:rRNA from 1 species
CAAGCGGAUCNCUUAAAGCCGUUCUCAGUUCGGACUGUAGGCUGCAACUCGCCUACACGAAGCUGGAAUCGCUAGUAAUCGCGGAUCAGCACGCCGCGGUGAAUACGUUCCCGGGUCUUGUACACACCGCCCGUCACACCAUGGGAGUCGGGAAUGCCCGAAGUCAGUGACCCAACCUAUUGGAGGGAGCUGCCGAAGGCAGGUCUGAUAACUGGGGUGAAGUCGUAACAAGGUACC